rnacentral:lncRNA from 1 species
GAAACCCACUGAGGUGCCAGUUCUGCUUCAAGGUGCAUCUGCCCUCCGAAUCUGGCGUGGAUUCCCCGGUCAGGGUUGUGCCCCAGAAUCAGGGUGACAAAAUGUAACCUUAUUUAGAGGUGCAGACGCCGAGGGCAAGUGAAGCCAGACUUAACUGAGGAAAGUUGGUGUGUAGAGUCUCAAAGUCUGGGAAUCUCUGCAGUAGUUUUACAAUUACUUAAAGAAGCCCUGAGAAACACUUCCGGUUUAUGCACUGUACAAGACAAUCCUUACUGGAAUCUGACUUUGUUGUCCUGCAAUCUCCUGAAAGCUGCAGAGCAAGGGAAGGAGGCCAGGACCUUGGCCUUCACCCCAGCUAUGGACCAACGUGAGAGAGGAUUUGCCCAGCAGCUGGAGAACCUGACCUUGACUGAAUAACCUGGAGAUAAGCUCACAGGCAGGACACACUUUUUGCAAAGCAAUUUUUAAAAAGUGGGCUUUAUCUGGGGACCCACUGUUUCCUCCCCAUCCAUGGUCACAAGCCCUCCAGGACAAAAUAGAUGUCAAAUAAAUAUUCAUUGAACGAAUUCAUAUCCCUGUUCUCUUU